AUUGAACGCUGGCGGCAGGCUUAACACAUGCAAGUCGAGCGGUAACAGAGAGAAGCUUGCUUCUCUGCUGACGAGCGGCGGACGGGUGAGUAACGCCUAGGAAUCUGCCUAGUAGUGGGGGAUAACUUGCCGAAAGGUAAGCUAAUACCGCAUACGUCCUACGGGAGAAAGGAGGGGACCUUCGGGCCUUUCGCUAUUAGAUGAGCCUAGGUCGGAUUAGUUAGUUGGUGAGGUAAUGGCUCACCAAGACCGCGAUCCGUAACUGGUCUGAGGGGAUGAUCAGUCCCACUGAAACUGAGACACGGUCCGGACUCCUACGGGAGGCAGCAGUGGGGAAUAUUGGACAAUGGGGGGAACCCUGAUCCAGCCAUGCCGCGUGUGUGAAGAGGGUCUUAGGAUUGUAAAGCACUUUAAGUUGGGAGGAAGAGCAGUUAACUAAUAUUUGACUGUUUUGACGUUACCGACAGAAUAAGCACCGGCUAACUUCGUGCCAGCCGCCGCCGUAA
rnacentral:rRNA from 1 species